AAGUCGAGGGGCAGCAUGAACUUAGCUUGCUGAGUUUGAUGGCGACCGGCGCACGGGUGAGUAACACGUAUCCAACCUGCCGAUGACUCGGGGAUAGCCUUUCGAAAGAAAGAUUAAUACCCGAUGGCAUAGUUCUUCCGCAUGGUAGAACUAUUAAAGAAUUUCGGUUGUCGAUGGGGAUGCGUUCCAUUAGGCAGUUGGCGGGGUAACGACCCACCAAACCUACGAUGGAUAGGGGUUCUGAGAGGAAGGUCCCCACAUUGGAACUGAGACACGGUCCAAACUCC
rnacentral:rRNA from 1 species